UACAGAGGGUGCUAGCGUUGUUCGGAAUCAUUGGGCGUAAAGGGCGUGUAGGCGGUUUGUUAAGUCAUGUGUGGAAUCCCUCGGCUCAACCGGGGAACGACGCAUGAAACUGGCAAGCUAGAGUACCAAAGAGGGGGGUGGAAUUCCCGGUGUAGAGGUGAAAUUCGUAGAUAUCGGGAGGAACACCAGUGGCGAAGGCGGCGAUCUGGGCAGAUAUUGACGCUGAGGUGCGAAAGCGUGGGGAGCAAACAGG
rnacentral:rRNA from 1 species